AUUGAACGCUGGCGGCAUGCUUUACACAUGCAAGUCGAACGGUAACAGGUUAAGCUGACGAGUGGCGAACGGGUGAGUAAUGCAUCGGAACGUGCCCGGUCGUGGGGGAUAACACUUCGAAAGAAGUGCUAACACCGCAUACGAUCUAAGGAUGAAAGCGGGGGACCGUAAGGCCUCGCGCGAUCGGAGCGGACGAUGUCAGCUUAGGUAGUUGGUGGGGUAAAGGCCUACCAAGCCGACGAUCUGUAGCUGGUCUGAGAGGACGACCAGCCACACUGGGACUGAGGCACGGCCCAGACUCCUACGGGAGUCAGCAGUGGGGAAUUUUGGACAAUGGGCGCAAGCCUGAUCCAGCAAUGCCGCGUGCAGGAAGAAGGCCUUCGGGUUGUAAACUGCUUUUGUACGGAGCGAAAAGGCUCUCUCUAAUACAGGGGGCUGAUGACGGUACCGUAAGAAUAAGCACCGGCUAACUACGUGCCAGCCGCCGCCGUAA
rnacentral:rRNA from 1 species